rnacentral:lncRNA from 10 species
GUAAGCUAAUUUGUCUAUGUCUCUUCUAAAAUCUCACACCUGGGACUGCGCGAGGAAUUUCAGAUAUGGAUUGAAAAGUUCAACAGGACUCUCACCUCUCUUUUGUGUACUUUGGGCAAGUGGACCCCCUUUAAGCCUCAGGUUCCUCAGCUGUAAAAUGGGACGCUAUGAUUCACCUUAAAAGUCUCUCAAAGUUUAGAUGUUGCAUGAUUCUAUGAUUCCAUUACCCAAAGCAUGAACCACUCACUUGGCAUCAUGUAAUUUCCACAGUUG